rnacentral:rRNA from 1 species
UUGAAAGGGAAACGAUUGAAGUCAGUCGUGCUGGCGCGAAAUCAACCUUCUCGUCUUGAGAUCACAUGGCGUGGCGAGCCUCAAAACCGUCACGAAGCGUGAACUCUUGGUGAAAUGGAGCACUUUCGUGUCCGCUGGUUAACAUCAAUUUCGAACGUCAUAAAAAGGCUGGAGGGAUGUGGCUCCUUCGGGAGUGUUAUAACCUUUAGCGGAAUGUGGUGUUCGGGAUUGAGGAUUGCAACGAGUACCUUUAGGGCUGUUCCACCUGGCUUCUCUUUGGUAUCCUGGUGACGACAGCUUGCUGACGUCGUUAGGAUUCGCCUUUGAACAGGUUAGAGUGUGAGCAAAUUCGUUAAGGAUGUUGACGUA